rnacentral:rRNA from 1 species
AACGAACGCUGGCGGCAUGCCUAACACAUGCAAGUCGAACGAGACCUUCGGGUCUAGUGGCGCACGGGUGCGUAACACGUGGGAAUUUGCCUCGGGGUAUGGAAUAACUCAGGGAAACUUGAGCUAAUACCAUAUAAUGUCUUCGGACCAAAGAUUUAUCGCCCUGAGACAAGCCCGCGUAGGAUUAGCUAGUUGGUGGGGUAAAGGCUCACCAAGGCGACGAUCUUUAGCUGGUCUGAGAGGAUGAUCAGCCACACUGGGACUGAGACACGGCCCAGACUCCUACGGGAGGCAGCAGUGGGGAAU